UCACUUACCUGGCAGAGGAGACACCAUAUUCAAGAAGGUGGUUUUCAAAGGCUAGCUCAUUCAUUGUACUUAGGUUGUGCUGACCCCUAUAAUGUUCCCCAAAUGUGGGAAAAUCAAUUGCAUAAUCUGUGGUGGUAGGAGACUCUGUUCAUGCUUCCUUCUG
ensembl:snRNA U1 U1 spliceosomal RNA